GUCAAGCGCUCGAUUCCCUGAGCC
rnacentral:snRNA from 1 species